rnacentral:rRNA from 1 species
GCAAAACGCGAAGAACCUUACCAAGGCUUGACAUACACCAGAACACCCUGGAAACAGGGGACUCUUUGGACACUGGUGAACAGGUGGUGCAUGGUUGUCGUCAGCUCGUGUCGUGAGAUGUUGGGUUAAGUCCCGCAACGAGCGCAACCCUCGUUCUAUGUUGCCAGCACGUUAUGGUGGGAACUCAUGGGAUACUGCCGGGGUCAACUCGGAGGAAGGUGGGGAUGACGUCAAAUCAUCAUGCCCCUUAUGUCUUGGGCUUCACGCAUGCUACAAUGGCCGGUACAAAGGGCUGCAAUACCGUGAGGUGGAGCGAAUCCCAAAAAGCCGGUCCCAGUUCGGAUUGAGGUCUGCAACUCGACCUCAUGAAGUCGGAGUCGCUAGUAAUCGCAGAUCAGCAACGCUGC